rnacentral:rRNA from 1 species
GAAGCACCGGCUAACUACGUGCCAGCAGCCGCGGUAAUACGUAGGGUGCGAGCGUUAAUCGGAAUUACUGGGCGUAAAGCGUGCGCAGGCGGUUUUGUAAGACAGGCGUGAAAUCCCCGGGCUCAACCUGGGAACUGCGUUUGUGACUGCAAGGCUAGAGUACGGCAGAGGGGGUGGAAUUCCACGUGUAGCAGUGAAAUGCGUAGAGAUGUGGAGGAACACCAAUGGCGAAGGCAGCCCCCUGGGUCGAUACUGACGCUCAUGCACGAAAGCGUGGGUAGCAAACAGGAUUAGAUACCCCUGGUAGUCCACGCCCUAAACGAUGUCAACUAGGUGUUGGGUGGGUAAAAACCCAUUUAGUACCGGAGCUAACGCGUGAAGUUGACCGCCUGGGGGAGUACGGCCGCAAGGUUAAAACUCAAAGGAAUUGACGGGGACCCGCACAAGCGGUGGAUGAUGUGGAUUAAUUCGAUGCAACGCGAAAAAACCUUACCUACCCUUGACAUGUCCAGAAGCCUGAAGAGAUUUGGGUGUG